CAGUCGCCACGGUAAUACAGAGGGUGCAAGCGUUAAUCGGAAUUACUGGGCGUAAAGCGUGCGCAGGCGGUUAUAUAAGACAGAUGUGAAAUCCCCGGGCUCAACCUGGGAACUGCAUUUGUGACUGUAUAGCUAGAGUACGGCAGAGGGGGAUGGAAUUCCGCGUGUAGCAGUGAAAUGCGUAGAUAUGCGGAGGAACACCGAUGGCGAAGGCAAUCCCCUGGGCCUGUACUGACGCUCAUGCACGAAAGCGUGGGGAGCAAACAGGAUUAGAUACCCCCGUAGUCCCUGUCUCUUAUAC
rnacentral:rRNA from 1 species